rnacentral:rRNA from 1 species
GAGUUUGAUCGUGGCUCAGAUUGAACGCUGGCGGCGUGCCUAACACAUGCAAGUCGAGCGGUAACAGGUGUAGCAAUACAUGCUGACGAGCGGCGAACGGGUGAGUAAUGCUUCGGAAUCUGCCCUUUGGUGGGGAAUAACUAGCCGAAAGGUUAGCUAAUACCGCAUAAGACCUACGGGUGAAAGCAGGGGAUCGCAAGACCUUGCGCCGAUGGAUGAGCCGAAGUCGGAUUAGCUAGUUGGUAGGGUAACGGCCUACCAAGGCAACAAUCCGUAGCUGGUCUGAGAGGACGACCAGCCACACUGGGACUGAGACACGGCCCAGACUCCUACGGGAGGCAGCAGUGGGGAAUAUUGGACAAUGGGGGCAACCCUGAUCCAGCGACGCCGCGUGUGUGAAGAAGGCCUGCGGGUUGUAAAGCACUUUUAGUGGGGAUGAAAAGCCUAGAGCUAAUAUCUCUGGGUCUUGACCUAACCCACAGAAAAAGCACCGGCUAACUCUGUGCCAGCAGCC